rfam:Schistosoma haematobium scaffold1338_2, whole genome shotgun sequence.
GCACUGCUGAGGAGUCUCAAAAUAGGACGAGACGGUCGUCAAGUGC